rnacentral:rRNA from 1 species
GAUGAACGCUGGCGGCGUGCCUAAUACAUGCAAGUCGAGCGAACAGACGAGGAGCUUGCUCCUCUGACGUUAGCGGCGGACGGGUGAGUAACACGUGGAUAACCUACCUAUAAGACUGGGAUAACUUCGGGAAACCGGAGCUAAUACCGGAUAAUAUAUUGAACCGCAUGGUUCAAUAGUGAAAGACGGUUUUGCUGUCACUUAUAGAUGAAUCCGCGCCGCAUUAGCUAGUUGGUAAGUUAACGGCUUACCAAGGCAACGAUGCGUAGCCGACCUGAGAGGGUGAUCGGCCGCACUGGAACUGAGACACGGUCCAGACUCCUACGGGAGGCAGCAGUAGGGAAUCUUCCGCAAUGGGCGAAAGCCUGACGGAGCAACGCCGCGUGAGUGAUGAAGGUCUUCGGAUCGUAAAACUCUGUUAUUAGGGAAGAACAAAUGUGUAAGUAACUAUGCACGUCUUGACGGUACCUAAUCAGAAAGCCACGGCUAACUACGUG